GAUGAACGCUGGCGGCGUGCUUAACACAUGCGAGUCGAACGGAAAGGCCUCUGCUUGCAGGGGUACUCGAGUGGCGAACGGGUGAGUAACACGUGGGUGAUCUGCCCUGCACUUCGGGAUAAGCCUGGGAAACUGGGUCUAAUACCGGAUAGGACAAUGGUUUGGAUGCCGUUGUGGAAAGUUUUUCGGUGUGGGAUGAGCUCGCGGCCUAUCAGCUUGUUGGUGGGGUAAUGGCCUACCAAGGCGUCGACGGGUAGCCGGCCUGAGAGGGUGUACGGCCACAUUGGGACUGAGAUACGGCCCAGACUCCUACGGGAGGCAGCAGUGGGGAAUAUUGCACAAUGGGCGCAAGCCUGAUGCAGCGACGCCGCGUGGGGGAUGACGGCCUUCGGGUUGUAAACUCCUUUCGCUAGGGACGAAGCGCAAGUGACGGUACCUGGAGAAGAAGCACCGGCUAACUACGUG
rnacentral:rRNA from 1 species